UGCAAGACAAAUGGUGCAAGAAAAAUCUCAGACAAGGGUGUAAUUGCAGCUGUGGUGCAGCAUGAGUAACAACAGGAUGGUUAGAAGUGUCGCUGUGGUAGCGACUUACAGAUGGUAUCCACCUGUCACUCAAAGCAGCCACGUCCUUAAUUAUCCAUUACUUCAUAACUUUGAUAACAAUUUAACAGAAGAGGCAUGUGAGAACAAUGAAAGCAUUCUUCAAGAAUUCAGCAAAACACUGGAUGAACCCUACAAGUGAAGAGCCUCAACUCCAAUUUCAAAACAGCCCAUACUGAGGGAGGCAUGGGGUCAAAGUUCAGAUCCUCUUCAGAGAGUCCCUGAGAUGUAUUCACUCCUACAGGCUUUCCAUUGAUU